rnacentral:rRNA from 1 species
UACGUAGGUGGCGAGCGUUGUCCGGAAUUACUGGGUGUAAAGCGCGUGUAGGCGGGAGGCCAAGUCUGUGGUGAAAUCGCUCGGCUUAACUGGGCGGGGUCCAUGGAAACUGGUCACCUGGAGGUCGGUAGAGGCAAGUGGAAUUCCCGGUGUAGUGGUGAAAUGCGUAGAGAUCGGGAGGAACACCAGUGGCGAAGGCGGCUUGCUGGGCCGGACCUGACGCUGAGACGCGAAGGCGUGGGGAGCGAACGGGG